CCUACGGGUGACAGCAGUGGGGAAUAUUGCACAAUGGGGGAAACCCUGAUGCAGCGACGCCGCGUGAGUGAAGAAGUAUCUCGGUACGUAAAGCUCUAUCAGCAGGAAAGAAAAUGACGGUACCUGACUAAGAAGCCCCGGCUAACUACGUGCCAGCAGCCGCGGUAAUACGUAGGGGGCAAGCGUUAUCCGGAUUUACUGGGUGUAAAGGGAGCGUAGACGGCGCUGCAAGUCCGGAGUGAAAGGCGGGGGCUUAACCAUGGUACUGCUCUGGAAACUGUAGAGCUUGAGUGCGGGAGGGGCAGGCGGAAUUCCUAGUGUAGCGGUGAAAUGCGUAGAUAUUAGGAGGAACACCGGCGGCGAAGGCGGCCUGCUGGACCGUAACUGACGUUGAGGCUCGAAAGCGUGGGGAGCAAACAGGAUUAGAUACCCGAGUAGUC
rnacentral:rRNA from 1 species